CCUGUUCAAUUGCUGUGCUCGAUUCUGGAUUUUUCUGUACUUCUAUAAUUUUGGGGUUAAUAUUGUUUACUACUUUAAUUGUUUAGUUUCUUGAAUGGAUAUGGUUUGAUUUAGAUUACACUUUACUGGGAACGAUUCAAUCGGAUUUUAUGGAAGUUUAAUUUGGUUUUCUGCCCUAACAACAAACACCAGUAUUUUAAAACCAAAGCAUCACACCAAGUAUAUCAUAUACUUAUUGCCCAAUAUGAUGAGAUGCUUCCAGCUAUCAAGAAUGAGUGUGAAAUGGUGGCUGUGAACAGAUACAAUCCAAGCCUGGACCUGGAUCUGGAUCUGGAUCUGAUUGAUUAUCAACAAAAGUUACUCAGAUUAUAAAUUUAUUGAAAAAGAAAUCUGAUUGAAUGUAAUCUCAAUCUUCUAUGCAAGAGCUACUUGAUAUCUCCCGUUUUCUCAAUUCACUAUAUUGCUAUAUGUAGACAUGAAUGGAAAAUGAACCAUAGACCAGUAGAAAAUGAUUUGACUUCAUGUUCAAGUUUGAUUAGCUAUCACUAUCUGAAACUUGGAAUUCUUUUUCACCAUCUUAUUUACAGGAUAGGACACUGUAUCACUUUAGGUGGAAAGUUGCAAUUCGAAAUCAUGUCUGCAUUGCAUCAAAUGUAUUAUACAAUUGAGCGAGAUCAAACAUCUGGCCAAAUAAAUUCAAGUUUGGCAAUGUCACUUUUGUCUUGCUCUCGCCAAGGCUAUGAAGAAGAUGAAGAAGGGUGAAAAGGCUCUUCUCACAGUCAAGCCACAGUAUGAAUUUAGCAAGAAGGGUGAACCAGCCUCUGAUGGUGCUGGAGUUGUCCUACCAAAUGCAACAUUGUACAGCACUAUGGAGUGUUGAAGACAGUUUCCAAUGUCACAGAUGACUAGAAAGCUGUUAAGAAGACUUUUGAAAAAAGGAGAAGGAUGUGAACACCCAAAUCUUUUUGUAAUUGGCAUUUGCUUAGUUAGACAGGAGAAAGGGGACGAAAUUAGUUUUCGCUGAUUUCAUUUUUCCCUUCCACUGUCCUCCGUGAAGUUCUAGACCCAAACAUAGCCCAAAGCAUGUGAAGGUUGAUAUAAUGUUUGAAAGCAUUUAACAUGGUAGCCAUGUUCGUGAUUGCAAAAUUCGUUUGUAAAUAUAGACAAGAUAAGAAAUCCAGAUUUUGCAUUUAGUAUACAGCAACACCUGUUCCUGACCUUUGUUUUGGUUCUUUUGUUUACUUUGCAGAAACAAUAUAAAGAAGAUAUUAUCUAUGAAUCUUCAUUUAAACACUCGUAUUGAGUUGAAGAAUAAA